rnacentral:rRNA from 1 species
UACGUAGGUCCCGAGCGUUGUCCGGAUUUAUUGGGCGUAAAGCGAGCGCAGGUGGUUUAUUAAGUCUGGUGUAAAAGGCAGUGGCUCAACCAUUGUAUGCAUUGGAAACUGGUAGACUUGAGUGCAGGAGAGGAGAGUGGAAUUCCAUGUGUAGCGGUGAAAUGCGUAGAUAUAUGGAGGAACACCGGUGGCGAAAGCGGCUCUCUGGCCUGUAACUGACACUGAGGCACGAAAGCGUGGGGAGCAAACAGG